GGCGGGGCUACCCGCUGAAUUUAAGCAUAUCAAUAAGCGGAGGA
rnacentral:rRNA from 1 species